GAUGAAGAACGUAGCGAAAUGCGAUAAGUAGUGUGAAUUGCAGAAUUCAGUGAAUCAUCGAAUCUUUGAACGCACAUUGCGCCCCUUGGUAUUCCAUGGGGCAUGCCUGUUCGAGCGUCAUUUGUACCUUCAAGCUCUGCUUGGUGUUGGGUGUUUGUCUCGCCUCUGCGUGUAGACUCGCCUCAAAACAAUUGGCACCCGGCGUAUUGAUUUCGGAGCGCAGUACAUCUCGCGCUUUGCACUCAUAACGACGACGUCCAAAAGUACAUUUUUACACUCUUGACCUCGGAUCAGGUAGGGAUACCCGCUGAACUUAAGCAUAUCAAUAAGCGGAGGA
rnacentral:misc_RNA from 1 species